UUGACUCAGAUGACUCCUCCAGUCCUGCGUCCUGUGACUUUGGCGACACGUUUGGUCGUUGCGGCGGGAAAUUGUUAUCUCGGAAUGGCUGUGUCGGAACCACGACCGUGAGGUAUAGUCUAGAAUGGAACUCUGGGCCCUUGUGUGCGACAGCGAAGUGCCUAACUAACUGUCACACGUCGGAUUCGGGACAACCGUUAUAAACUUUGGACUGAAGCGGAAGAUUUUUCCGAAACCCUGCGAGCUGUGACAAAAACUGCCAGAAAACGGAAAUUGGACUUUGUUUCAGACAGCUAAGGAGAAAAAAAACCAAGAAAAAAAAA